rnacentral:rRNA from 1 species
GUGGGGAAUAUUGGACAAUGGGCGAAAGCCUGAUCCAGCCAUGCCGCGUGUGUGAAGAAGGUCUUCGGAUUGUAAAGCACUUUAAGUUGGGAGGAAGGGCAGUAAGUUAAUACCUUGCUGUUUUGACGUUACCGACAGAAUAAGCACCGGCCAACUUCGUGCCAGCAGCCGCGGUAAUACGUAGGGUGCAAGCGUUAAUCGGAAUUACUGGGCGUAAAGCGCGCGUAGGUGGUUGUGUAAGUUGGAGGUGAAAUCCCCGGGCUCAACCUGGGAACUGCCUCCAAAACUGCAUGACUAGAGUACGGUAGAGGGUAGUGGAAUUUCCUGUGUAGCGGUGAAAUGCGUAGAUAUAGGAAGGAACACCAGUGGCGAAGGCGACUACCUGGACUGAUACUGACACUGAGGUGCGAAAGCGUGGGGAGCAAACAGGAUUAGAAACCCGUGUAGUCC